UACGGAGGGUGCAAGCGUUAAUCGGAAUUACUGGGCGUAAAGCGUGCGCAGGCGGCUUUGCAAGACAGAUGUGAAAUCCCCGGGCUUAACCUGGGAAUGGCAUUUGGGACUGCAAGGCUGGAGUGCGGCAGAGGAGACUGGAAUUCCUGGUGUAGCAGUGAAAUGCGUAGAUAUCAGGAGGAACACCGAUGGCGAAGGCAGGUCUCUGGGCUGACACUGACGCUCAUGCACGAAAGCGUGGGGAGCAAACAGG
rnacentral:rRNA from 1 species